GCCAUUUCCGUAACAUCCCCUCCAUUUUUGUCUCGUGACUUGUGGUGAUGACCAAUGCAAUGACGAAGUUGUACUUAAAAGUGAUUUAAUUCGAGAAGAAAGGACAAUGCAGGCUAACCCCGAGACAAGGCACGUCGGACACCAGCCUCGUUGACAAGAUAAAUGUUAGCGGUAUAACGAAAAGUAAGCCGUAAUGACGGGAAGAAAAGCUGCGAUUCCGCUUGGUUCCACCCGCUCAAACCUUACCAUGCAUAACGGUGAUUACGAUUGAGGUAACUACGAGAUCAUAUGAGAGAGGUUGCAAGAUGCAGAUACACCAUCCCACGCCCAGCCGCCUCAGACGUCCUUGUGAACAGUGCAGAUUGCAGCCCGGCCGACGGCCUUGAGACACACCACUAAAGGACGUCUGUGCGAACGGGCUCCCAGUGGCUGAUAUAGCGGUCCGAUAGCGCCGCCAUGAUGCCUCUGUCACCGACAGCCUCUUCAGAGCUGCGGCUCAACAUGACAGGUCGGUGCUCACGGUACAGGGAUACAUCCUGCUCGAGGGAUAAACUGCACGCCGAGCCGAGUCGCAGGAACAACAGAUAGACCGCCGAGGAUCAAUGUUUCACAGAAAUUACUGGUGUGAAUCUUGGCCCUCUGAGAUGACGUGCCGGCUGGACACACGAAAUGGCUUCUUUUGAUGGAUGUAUUGCAGCUACACUUUUCACGAGAUGCCGUGACCGCUGCCCGUCCUAUGAUCUCCAGACCAGACGACCGGCGGCGAAACCGCACUCAGGUAUGAAUUGGCUUUCUGAAAAGUCACUGAACCGUGCAGCAAGCCCGCUAUCCGUGCCCAACAGUGCGUAUCGUCCUGUUUCGCCACAUAAAGACCGUGUGCAACACCA